rnacentral:misc_RNA from 1 species
UCCCCGCUGGAGCGGCGACGUCCUCCCUUGCAACCCUCCUCAGUCGUUGGCCCAAGAGCAACGUGACCGGCCUUGGCCGCCCGCGGGUUUCYUGUAUUGCGUACCUACCGGAAGGAAUUCGUACGUCGCAACSACCGACGKUCUYCCGGCGCUGUGGCUGCCCUCGGGUGGWCGCGGCGCGGGGUGAACCGCGAAGGCAAGUCAGUGCUCCGAGUCGCCGCCAAGCGACGMRUCUCGGCCCACGAGCUCCCGCCUGAGCUCUCGGACGCAGUGCACCGUGAGGGCRGGGUCGCUCGRCGACCCCCGUCURCCCGAACUCGGCGUCAAUCGMMCGCACCGAACGACUGCCGUGCGUCGCCUCGAGGCCGCCGCGCCCCGUCGGGGCUGCCGGGCUCGUGCGACGCACGGCGUCGGUUA